rnacentral:misc_RNA from 1 species
UGGCGUGGAAAGCCAGUUUUCAUCAGGCGCCGAUCAGAAGAAGAUGUGAAGCUGGCAAAUAGUGUUGAGUUAGCAUCUCUUCGCGACCCACAGCCUGAUGCCGAGAGGGUCAAGAACCCAGAAUGGCUAGUUGUUAUAGGGGUCUGCACGCAUUUGGGUUGCAUUCCCUUGCCAAAUGCUGGUGAUUUUGGCGGCUGGUUUUGCCCAUGCC